rnacentral:lncRNA from 1 species
AACUGACAGUAGCUUGUUUAACAGGUUUCAAGCGAUGACAGUGCCACAGGUACAGUGCCAACGUCAGUUCUCUCCUAUUCUGACUACAUCACUCGCGCUGAUGACCCUACGUCAGUGAUCACGUUCGGUCGAGGCGAGAGUCACGCAGCCGGCUCAGUGUUGUGAUCGAC